rnacentral:rRNA from 1 species
UACAGAGGGCCCAAGCGUUGUUCGGAUUCACUGGGCGUAAAGGGUGCGUAGGCGGUCGGGUAAGUCUGAUGUGAAAUCUCACAGCUUAACUGUGAAACUGCAUUGGAUACUAUCCGGCUCGAGGAAUGGAGGGGAGACUGGAAUACUUGGUGUAGCAGUGAAAUGCGUAGAUAUCAAGUGGAACACCAGUGGCGAAGGCGAAUCUCUGGACAUUUCCUGACGCUGAGGCACGAAAGCCAGGGGAGCAAUCGGG